GUGUCAGCCGCCGCGGUAAUACGUAUGGGGCAAGCGUUGUUCGGAUUUAUUGGGCGUAAAGGGCGUGUAGGCGGCUCAUCAAGUCUGGUGUGAAAUCGACAGGCUUAACCUGUCAUAUGCGCUGGAAACUGGUGGGCUUGAGUUCUUGAGGGGAAGCUGGAAUUCCAGGUGUAGGGGUGAAAUCUGUAGAUAUCUGGAAGAACACCGGUGGCGAAGGCGAGCUUCUAUCAGAGGACUGACGCUGAGGCGCGAAAGCGUGGGGAGCAAACAGGAUUAGAUACCCCCGUAGUCC
rnacentral:rRNA from 1 species